rnacentral:rRNA from 1 species
GGAGGAAUAUUGGUCAAUGGACGCAAGUCUGAACCAGCAACGCCGCGUGAAGGACGAAGGCCUUCGGGUCGUAAACUUCUUUUGAGGGAGACGAGCAAGGACGGUAUCCCUCGAAUCAGCCACGGCUAACUACGUGCCAGCAGCCGCGGUAAAACGUAGGUGGCGAGCGUUAUCCGGAUUCAUUGGGCGUAAAGAGCUUGUAGGCGGCGUCAUAAGUUGGACGUGAAAACUCCGGGCUUAACUUGGAGAGGCCGUUCAAUACUGUGAGGCUAGAGGGUGUCAGAGGGAAGUAGAAUUCCUGGUGUAGCAGUGAAAUGCGUAGAUAUCAGGAGGAAUACCCGUGGCGAAGGCGGCUUCCUGGGGCACCACUGACGCUGAGAAGCGAAAGCUAGGGGAGCAAACGG